rnacentral:RNase_P_RNA from 1 species
CCAGCCGUCCGGGCGGCCGCAUCCGCGACAGCCGAAAGGCUGCGGAUGAGGAAAGUCCGGGCUCCAUGGAGACACGGUGCCGGCUAACGGCCGGCGGGGGCGACCCCAGGGAAAGUGCCACAGAAAGCAAACCGCCGUGCCCGUCCUCCGGGGCGAUGCACGGCAAGGGUGAAAGGGUGGGGUAAGAGCCCACCGCGCGACCGGCAACGGGAGCGGCACGGCAAACCCCACCGGGAGCAAAACCGAAUAGGGGCGGUGCGAGGGGAAACCCUCGAGGGCUGUUUCCGGCCCACCGCCCGGGUAGGUUGCGU